GACGAACGCUGGCGGCGUGCCUAAUACAUGCAAGUCGAACGAAGCUUUUUUAACUGGUGCUUGCACCGACUCAAACAACUGAGUGGCGAACGGGUGAGUAACACGUGGGUAACCUGCCCCAAAGCGGGGGAUAACAUUUGGAAACAGAUGCUAAUACCGCAUAACCACAGAAACCACAUGGUUUCUGUGUCAAAGAUGGUUUCGGCUAUCACUUUGGGAUGGACCCGCGGCGUAUUAGCUAGUUGGUAAGGUAAUGGCUUACCAAGGCAAUGAUACGUAGCCGAACUGAGAGGUUGAUCGGCCACAUUGGGACUGAGACACGGCCCAAACUCCUACGGGAGGCAGCAGUAGGGAAUCUUCCACAGUGGACGAAAGUCUGAUGGAGCAACGCCGCGUGAGUGAAGAAGGUUUUCGGAUCGUAAAACUCUGUUGUCAGAGAAGAACGUGUGCGAGAGUAACUGUUCGUGCAGUGACGGUAUCUGGCCAGAAAGCCACGGCUAACUACGUGCCAGCAGCCGCGGUAA
rnacentral:rRNA from 1 species